AGCAGCCGCGGUAAUUCCAGCUCCAAUAGCGUAUAUUAAAGUUGUUGCAGUUAAAAAGCUCGUAGUUGAAUUUCGGGAUUGACGUGAUGGUCAUGCCUUAAGGGGUAUGAACUGUUACAGUUGAUUUCUCACCUUCUGGAGAAACUUGAUGUCCUUUAUUGGGUGUCUUGCGGAUCCAGGACCUUUACCUUGAAAAAUUAGGGUGUUUAAAGCAGGCAUUUUUGCUCGAAUACAUUAGCAUGGAAUAAUAGAAUAGGACGGCAUGGUUCUAUUUUGUUGGUUUCUAGGAUCACCGUAAUGAUUAAUAGGGAUAGUUGGGGGCAUUAGUAUUCAAUUGUCAGAGGUGAAAUUCUUGGAUUUAUUGAAGACUAACUACUGCGAAAGCAUUUGCCAAGGAUGUUUUCAUUAAUCAAGAACGAAAGUUAGGGGAUCGAAGACGAUCAGAUACCGUCGUAGUCUUAACCAUAAACUAUGCCGACUAGGAAUCAGACGAUGUUAAUUUUUAAUGUACUCG
rnacentral:rRNA from 1 species